rnacentral:misc_RNA from 1 species
GGUGAUGUUACAACUACAAUGCUCUGGAUACACGGCCAAGUAUCCACGUUACCAACGAUGAAGGAUUUAUUUCUACCGUCAGUUGUUUCUCUAGCUGUUCCUUUGGCUCUGCUGUCCCUUACAAGUGAAGUGAAUGGGAAAGGACAAAACUCCGCUGAGGUUCUGGCAUCCGAACAGAUGGCUCCUCGAGGACAGCUAGUUUUCGCGGUUGGACUUGGGGCUUUAGUGUUUGUACCAGUUUUCAAGGCCUUGACUGGCCUUCCACCGUACAUGGGUAUGCUGCUUGGACUGGGAGUUCUUUGGAUAAUCACAGAUGCGAUCCACUAUGGAGAAUCUGAAAGACAGCGGCUGAAAGUACCACAGGCUUUAUCACGCAUUGACACUCAAGGAGCUCUUUUCUUCCUUGGAAUCCUAUUGUCCGUUAGCAGCCUGGAAGCAGCAGGUAUUCUGCGAGAAUUGGCAAAUUACCUUGAUGCCCAUAUACCAAGUACUGAACUCAUUGCAAGCUCAAUCGGGGUUGUGUCAGCAAUCAUAGACAAUGUUCCUCUGGUUGCAGCCACUAUGGGAAUGUAUGACCUAUCUUCCUUUCCCCAAGAUUCUGAAUUCUGGCAGCUAGUAGCAUUUUGUGCCGGUACUGGUGGAUCCAUGCUAGUAAUUGGUUCAGCAGCUGGAGUAGCAUUUAUGGGAAUGGAAAA